UACACGACCGUACCGCAAACCGACACUGGUGCGCGAGAUGAGUAUUCUAAGGCGCUUGAGAGAACUCAGGAGAAGGAACUCGGCAAAUUGACACCGUAACUUCGGAAGAAGGUGUGCCUUUAGUAGGUGAACCUGUACAAGGGGAGCCCAAUGAGGUUGCAAAAAAUCGGUGGCUGCGACUGUUUAAUAAAAACACAGCACUCUGCAAACACGAAAGUGGACGUAUAGGGUGUGACGCCUGCCCGGUGCUGGAAGAUUAAAUGAUGGGGUGCAAGCUCUUGAUUGAAGUCCCAGUAAACGGCGGCCGUAACAAUAACGGUCCUAAGGUAGCGAAAUUCCUUGUCGGGUAAGUUCCGACCUGCACGAAUGGCGUAACGAUGGCCACACUGUCUCCUCCUGAGACUCAGUGAAGUUGAAAUGUUUGUGAUGAUGCAAUCUCCCCGCGGAAAGACGGAAAGACCCCAUGAACCUUUACUGUAGCUUUGUAUUGGACUUUGAACAGAUCUGUGUAGGAUAGGUGGGAGGCUUUGAAGUGUGGUCGCUAGAUCGCAUGGAGCCAACGUUGAAAUACCACCCUGGUGCGUUUGAGGUUCUAACCUAGGCCCGUAAUCCGGGUCGGGGACAGUGCAUGGUAGGCAGUUUGACUGGGGCGGUCUCCUCCCAAAGCGUAACGGAGGAGUUCGAAGGUACGCUAGGUACGGUCGGACAUCGUGCUAAUAGUGCAAUGGCAUAAGCGUGCUUAACUGCGAGACUGACAAGUCGAGCAGAUGCGAAAGCAGGACAUAGUGAUCCGGUGGUUCUGUAUGGAAGGGCCAUCGCUCAACGGAUAAAAGGUACUCUGGGGAUAACAGGCUGAUACCGCCCAAGAGUUCAUAUCGACGGCGGUGUUUGGCACCUCGAUGUCGGCUCAUCUCAUCCUGGGGCUGUAGCCGGUCCCAAGGGUAUGGCUGUUCGCCAUUUAAAGAGGUACGUGAGCUGGGUUUAAAACGUCGUGAGACAGUUUGGUCCCUAUCUUCCGUGGGCGCUGCAGAUUUGAGGAAGCCUGCUCCUAGUACGAGAGGACCGGAGUGGACACACCUCUGGUGUAUCGGUUGUCACGCCAGUGGCAUUGCCGAGUAGCUAUGUGUGGAAGAGAUAACCGCUGAAAGCAUCUAAGCGGGAAACUCGUUUCAAGAUGAGAUCUGCCGGGGCCUUGAGCCCCCUAAAGAGUCGUUCAAGACCAGGACGUUGAUAGGUCGGGUGUGGAAGCGCAGUAAUGCGUUAAGCUAACCGAUACUAAUUGCUCGUGCGGCUUGACCCC
rnacentral:rRNA from 1 species